AACGAAAGAAUAAUCAUACAUCAAACAAUCUAACAAGAGACGACAAUGAGAUAAUAAAGCAAUAGAAAAUAUUUUUCUGGGAUAGCGUAAAGCUCUUUCAGACGCGAUUUUUUAGAUUGGAGUACUUACAUAUUUAUGUAAGUAUUUACUUAUAUAAAUAUAUAUUUAAUCCGGAUCGUGUUUGUUAGAGCUUUACGAAAUGCUGUGCGUUCGAGAAGCGUGUGGGCUUAGCCGGCAAGUAAGGAUGUGGAGGUUAAACAAAUUGGCGGCGCAUCUUGGCUCAGGUGCCAGUGAUGACCUUUUACUCCCUACAUCAAAACCUGAUGCUGUGAAGACUGGUAAUCAUACAAUCUAUUAAUAGGUGACAAUCGACCAAAGUUAGGCCUUCGGCAAGCAAAAAUGCAAGUGUCCGGAUACCAAACCGCUACUACUACUUUCUCUGAAACCACACGGCCAAUAUCACUCUGGCGGACACUACACAGCCACUAUUUGGAAUUUGAAGGAAAAAUGCCGGGACAAAAAAUCCACAUGGUGAGUGGGAGGAGGAGUUAUAUUCAUCGGUAGAGAUCUGCACUACGCCGCAGUGGCGUAGCCUUCAGUUUGUUUAAUUUUAAAUACAUCCAUAUGCAUAUAAUAGGAUUACCAAAUACUAUAUGAAUUUAGUUAUUAAAUAAAUAAUCUGAUCCGU